AUUGAACGCUGGCGGCCGGCCUACCACAUGCAAGUCGAACGAGUGGCGUACGGGUGAGUAAUGUCUGGGACACUGCCUGCUGUAGGGGGCUAACUACUGGAAACGGUAGCUACUACCGCAUACCAUCAGAUGUGCCCAGAUGGGAUUCGCUCGUUGGUGGGUAAACGGCUCACCAAGGCGACGAUCCCUAGCUGGUCUGAGAGGAUGACCAGCCACACUGGAACUGGGACACGGUUCAGACUCCUACGGGAGGAAGCAGUGGGGAAUAGUGCACAAUGGGCGCAAGCCUGAGGCAGCCAUGCCGCGUGUAUGAAGAAGGCCUCAGGGGUGGAAAGUACUUGCAGCGGGGAGGCGUUACCCGCAGAAGAAGCACCGGCUAACUCCGUGCCAGCAGCCGCGGUAAAC
rnacentral:rRNA from 1 species